rnacentral:lncRNA from 1 species
AUAAAUCUAAUCAAUACAUAUAAAAGCACGCAUACAUAUAAUCCCAUAUUAUAUUUUAAAAGAGAGCAAGAGAAGUACUGAACUUAAAAAACUAAUUACAUACAUAUUUACAAACUAACAGUGAAAUGUAGAAAGAGAGAAAAGUAAUGAGUUCAAAAUAAUAAAAUUUUUACGUGGAGGAAGGAACAAACCUGUUGAAGUUGACAUACGGAGAAGAAUGAAGUUUUUUGUUGUAAAAAAAGUGAUAAAUCGUUGCUCUUCGUAAAGGCAAACUAGCGGAAAGAAUUAUGAAAGACUUCUAAUUUAGGGCUUUUAGCAAUAUUAAAAAGUUUACUUCUAAAUUUAAUAUUUUUAAUUUCUUUUUAAAAAGAUGUCUCUUAGGCUUACGUCUCAACCAAAAAACUCGCCUGGGUGUACGCCUCGAACUUCUGGGUGUACGCCUUAUGGGACUUUCGCCCCCAGGAUCGCCCCGGGGCGUUUUUGGUACGCCUUGCCCCAGGACUUACCCCAAGAACACCUUUUAAAACACUGGUGCUGCUGAUGACUCUGAAAAUAUGCACUGAUCGCCAUAGGGCAGAUAAGCCUUUGUCCGCUAACUCUAAAGUAUCAUCAUCUUUGUGUGUAUUGAUGCAACUGUUUAUCUAUUAAAAAGAAAAGCAUUAGCCUUCUAAGCUUUUAAAAGAGAAGCUUUGAUACUGCUGCGAAGUUUUGGACUGUAUUAUUUGGUGUAAUAUAUUUCAUUCAUUACACAAAUGAUAUCAGAGUCUUUGGGUGUGAAUCACACUUAAAUUGGAGGACAUUUUAUGUUUGUAACUAGUAUUGAUAAAUUUUUGGUUCCUAUACGCUAUAGAUAAAAUGUGGAAAUGUUAUAUCUUAGAAUGCAUGAAUUAUUGAAUUAUUAGUUCCAAUUUGUAAGUGUUUAGAGAGGAAUAAACAAACAACAAAAGCCCAGUUUGAUCCCAUAAAUGGGGUCGGGGGAGGGUAGUGUGUACGCAGACCAUACUCCUACCUCAUAGAGAUAGAGAGGCUGUUUCCGAUAGACCUUUGGCUCAAGGAACCAGAGGGGAAUAAACACACAGAUAAAAUGACAGCUACUUGCAAGAUCCAAUUUAAGACCUCAACCUGCUUUGUUACAUAAAUGAUAAAUGCAAAUGUGGAAUUAACCAUUUUAAAGGAUCGUCGUGGAUAAAUACUACACAAGUUAGUGAUAAUUAAUAACCUUUCUUAAAUUCUCACCUUCAUUAAGUGUUUUUCACAUUGUACUUGCCCUUUGUAUUGAUCUUCAAGUGCUUUACGGAGCAUUGGGAGCUCUAAUAACAACACCUUCGGAAAGGAGACGUCUAAUACCAUUGGAACUUCCAAAUAGGAGAAAUACAUAUGUGUACUGGAGAUCGAGUCAUAGGGAAAAAGGUUUGACAGAGAUUUGGAUUUGGAUUUGAAAUGAGCCUAUAGCAUAAUAGAUUUCCAUUUGAACGGUAAAAUCCUCUGUGUAAGAGGAAAGAUCCUUGUUCGAAUCAUGUGAUGAAUAAAAUAUGUGCUGUAUGUUAAUAAUUCUAAGUAGUGAUUUGUGACUUUAGCUUAUCCUGAGAAAAUUAAAAUUGCCAGUGAUGACUUUAACUUUCAUUGGUGAAUUUUCUAGCUUGCUAAUAGUUGGCUUGUAUGUGCAGAGGGUAUGUACAUGAUGGAAGUCGAUCGAGUUUUGAGACCUGGUGGAUACUGGAUACUCUCUGGUCCUCCACUUAAUUGGAAGAUCUAUCACAAAGUCUGGAACAGGACAAUUGCGGAUGUGAAAGCUGAGCAAAAGAGGAUUGAAGAUUUUGCUGAGCUUCUUUGCUGGGAGAAGAAAUAUGAAAAAGGUGAUGUAGCUAUAUGGAGGAAAAAAAUUAAUGGAAAAUCAUGCAGCAGAAGGAAAUCUACCAAAA